CCCUUAAAAGUUAUAGCACUAUCUCUCUCUAUUUUUAAGAGAUUGCUAUCUUUCUCUCUCUUUCUUCCCUUAAAAUCUAUAGCAUGCACUAUUUUUUUUGGAGAUUGAGAUUGUAGUCUUUCUCUCACUUCCCUUAAUAUCUUUCUCUCACUUCCUUUAAUAUAUGUUGCACACUAUUUCCUAUAUAUCUAUCUCUCACUAUUUUUAAGAGAUUGCUAU
rnacentral:lncRNA from 1 species